GUGGUGGAGAGUCAGUGGCAGAAUGCUCGCCUGCCAAGCGGGCGACCCGGCUUCGAUUUCCGGUCAAUGCA